rnacentral:rRNA from 1 species
UGAAUUGACGGGGCCGCACAAGCGGUGGAGUAUGUGGUUUAAUUCGAUGCAACGCGAAGAACCUUACCUGGUCUUGACAUCCCGGAGACCCUUAGGAAACUAGGGGGUGCUUCCAUCUGGAAGAAUCUGGAGACAGGUGCUGCAUGGCUGUCGUCAGCUCGUGUCGUGAGAUGUUGGGUUAAGUCCCGCAACGAGCGCAACCCUUGCCUUUAGUUGCCAGCAGUUCGGCUGGGCACUCUAAAGGGACUGCCGGUGUUAAACCGGAGGAAGGUGGGGAUGACGUCAAGUCCUCAUGGCCUUUAUGACCAGGGCUACACACGUACUACAAUGGCCGAUACAAAGGGCAGCGACACUGCGAGGUGAAGCCAAUCCCGUAAAAUCGGUCUCAGUCCGGAUUGGAGUCUGCAGCUCGACUCCAUGAAGUUGGAAUCGCUAGUAAUCGUGGAUCAGCAUGCCACGGUGAAUACGUUCCCGGGCCUU